rnacentral:rRNA from 1 species
AGAGUUUGAUCAUGGCUCAGAAUCAACGCUGGCGGCGUGCCUAAUACAUGCAAGUCGAACGCGAAAGUGGAGCAAUCCAUGAGUAGAGUGGCAAACGGGUGAGUAACGCGUGGGUGACCUGCCUUCGAGCGGGGGAUAACGUUCCGAAAGGGACGCUAAUACCGCAUAACAUCCUGCCUUUUAAGAGGUGGAGAUCAAAG